rnacentral:rRNA from 1 species
GACGAACGCUGGCGGCGUGCUUAACACAUGCAAGUCGAACGGAAAGGCCCUGCUUUUGUGGGGUGCUCGAGUGGCGAACGGGUGAGUAACACGUGAGUAACCUGCCCUUGACUUUGGGAUAACUUCAGGAAACUGGGGCUAAUACCGGAUAGGAGCUCCUGCUGCAUGGUGGGGGUUGGAAAGUUUCGGCGGUUGGGGAUGGACUCGCGGCUUAUCAGCUUGUUGGUGGGGUAGUGGCUUACCAAGGCUUUGACGGGUAGCCGGCCUGAGAGGGGGACCGGCCACAUUGGGCCUGAGAUACGGCCCAGACUCCUACGGGAGGCAGCAGUGGGAAAUAUUGCACAAUGGGCGGAAGCCUGAUGCAGCAACGCCGCGUGCGGGAUGACGGCCUUCGGGUUGUAAACCGCUUUCGCCUGUGACGAAGCGUGAGUGACGGUAAUGGGUAAAGAAGCACCGGCUAACUACGUG